GGUUGUAAGGUGUACUCAUUCCAAUUACAGGGCCUCGAAAGAGUCCUGUAUUGUUAUUUUUCGUCACUGCCUCCCCGAGUCGGGAGUGGGUAAUUUGCGCGCCUGCUGCCUUCCUUAAGUGUGGUAGCCGUUUCUCAGGCUCCCUCUCC